rnacentral:rRNA from 1 species
GGGGGGGGGGGGGGGGGGGGGGGGGGGGGGGGGGGGGGGGGGGGGGGGCGGGCGGGUGGGGGGUGGGGGGGGGGCGGGCGUGUGAGUGACACGUGGGUCGGCUGGGCUUGACUGUGGGAGAGCUGCAGGGGACUGGGGCGCAGCGCGGGUCGGCAGUCCGGCGGGCUGGUGGUGUUGAGCAACAGUGGGCGGUUGGGGAUGGACUCGCGGCUGAUCGGUGGUGUGGUGGGGUAGUGUCGUACCAAGGCUUUGACGGGUAGCCGGCCUGAGAGGGUGACCGGCCUCAGUGGGACUGAGAUACGCCCCAGACUCCUACGGUAGGCAGCAGUGGGGAAGAUUGCACAAUGGGCGGAAGCCGGAUGCAGCAACGCCGCGUGCGGGAUGACGGCCUUCGGGUUGUAAACCGCUUUCGCCUGUGACGAAGCGUGAGUGACGGUAAUGGGUAAAGAAGCACCGGCUAACUACGUG